GAAGAGGAGGCACACUGAGAAGGCGAUCAACAUGACAAGGAUUCAUUGCUGCUGCGGCUGAAUGAUUUUGUGGUCAUAUUGAUCGCCUUUUCAGUCUGCCUCUUAUC
rnacentral:pre_miRNA from 1 species